GACGAACGCUGGCGGCGCGCCUAACACAUGCAAGUCGAACGAGAGAUGAGGAGCUUGCUCUUCAAAUCGAGUGGCGAACGGGUGAGUAACGCGUGAGGAACCUGCCUCAAAGAGGGGGACAACAGUUGGAAACGACUGCUAAUACCGCAUAAGCCCACGGCUCGGCAUCGAGCAGGGGGAAAAGGAGCAAUCCGCUUUGAGAUGGCCUCGCGUCCGAUUAGCUAGUUGGUGAGGUAACGGCCCACCAAGGCGACGAUCGGUAGCCGGACUGAGAGGUUGAACGGCCACAUUGGGACUGAGACACGGCCCAGACUCCUACGGGAGGCAGCAGUGGGGAAUAUUGCACAAUGGGGGAAACCCUGAUGCAGCGACGCCGCGUGGAGGAAGAAGGUCUUCGGAUUGUAAACUCCUGUUGUUGAGGAAGAUAAUGACGGUACUCA
rnacentral:rRNA from 1 species